GACGAACGCUGGCGGCGUGCUUAACACAUGCAAGUCGAACGGUGAUCUUGGGAGCUUGCUCUUGGGUGAUCAGUGGCGAACGGGUGAGUAACACGUGAGUAACCUGCCCCUGACUCUGGAAUAACUUCGGGAAACCGAAGCUAAUACCGGAUACGACACAGAGCUGCAUGGCUACUGUGUGGAAAGUUUUUCGGGUGGGGAUGGACUCGCGGCCUAUCAGCUUGUUGGUGAGGUAAUGGCUCACCAAGGCGACGACGGGUAGCCGGCCUGGGAGGGCGAUCGGCCACACUGGGACUGAGACACGGCCCAGACUCCUACGGGAGGCAGCAGUGGGGAAUAUUGCACAAUGGGCGAAAGCCUGAUGCAGCGACGCCGCGUGAGGGAUGAAGGCCUUCGGGUUGUAAACCUCUUUCAGUAGGGAAGAAGCGCAAGUGACGGUACCUACAGAAGAAGCACCGGCUAACUACGUGCCAGCCGCCGCAGUAACAC
rnacentral:rRNA from 1 species